GGUUAAGCGAAUGAAGCGUACACGGUGGAUGCCUUG
rnacentral:rRNA from 1 species